rnacentral:rRNA from 1 species
UUGCCUACGGGAGGCAGCAGUGAGGAAUAUUGGUCAAUGGGCGCGAGCCUGAACCAGCCAAGUCGCGUGAGGGAAGACGGUCCUAUGGAUUGUAAACCUCUUUUGUCGGGGAGCAAAAGACGCCACGCGUGGCGUUCCGAGAGUACCCGAAGAAAAAGCAUCGGCUAACUCCGUGCCAGCAGCCGCGGUAAUACGGAGGAUGCGAGCGUUAUCCGGAUUUAUUGGGUUUAAAGGGUGCGUAGGCGGGCUUUUAAGUCAGCGGUAAAAAUUCGGGGCUCAACCCCGUCCGGCCGUUGAAACUGGGG